rnacentral:rRNA from 1 species
GACGAACGCUGGCGGCGUGCUUAACACAUGCAAGUCGAACGAUGAAGCCGGAGCUUGCUCUGGUGAAUUAGUGGCGAACGGGUGAGUAACACGUGAGUAACCUGCCCUUGACUCUGGGAUAACUGCGGGAAACUGUAGCUAAUACCGGAUACGACCCUCGGAGGCAUCUCCUGGGGGUGGAAAGAAUUUCGGUCAAGGAUGGACUCGCGGCCUAUCAGCUAGUUGGUGAGGUAAAGGCUCACCAAGGCGACGACGGGUAGCCGGCCUGAGAGGGUGACCGGCCCCACUGGGACUGAGACACGGCCCAGAAUCCUACGGGGGGCAGCAGUGGGGAAUAUUGCACAAUGGGCGCAAGCCUGUUGCAGCAACGCCGCGUGAGGGAUGACGGCCUUCGGGUUGUAAACCUCUUUUAGCAGGGAAGAAGCGAAAGUGACGGUACCUGCAGAAAAAGCACCGGCUAACUACGUGCCAGCCGCCGCAGUAA